rnacentral:rRNA from 1 species
GAUGAACGCUGGCGGCGUGCUUAACACAUGCAAGUCGAACGGAGAACCCUUGACGGAGUUUUCGGACAACGGAUAGGAAUUCUUAGUGGCGGACGGGUGAGUAACGCGUGAGGAACCUGCCUUGGAGAGGGGAAUAACACAGAGAAAUUUGUGCUAAUACCGCAUAAUGCAGCUGGGUCGCAUGGCUCUGGCUGCCAAAGAUUUUAUCGCUCUGAGAUGGCCUCGCGUCUGAUUAGCUAGUUGGUGGGGCAACGGCCCACCAAGGCGACGAUCAGUAGCCGGACUGAGAGGUUGACCGGCCACAUUGGGACUGAGACACGGCCCAGACUCCUACGGGAGGCAGCAGUGGGGAAUAUUGGGCAAUGGGCGCAAGCCUGACCCAGCAACGCCGCGUGAAGGAAGAAGGCUUUCGGGUUGUAAACUUCUUUUAUUAAGGACGAAAACAAUGACGGUAC